UUGCAUUAACAAGUGGCGAUAAAGUCUGGUACAAGGGAAAGAGAAGAAGAAGAGGAGUUGGUUGAUCCGAAAACGACGUGGUUGGACUUAGUAGGUGAUGCGAUAUGAUAUCGUAGAUUGAGUUGUUUUUUUGCAAUAAAAAACGGUGAUGUUUUCCAAUUUAUAAUAAAUGCGUUGGCACCUACUUAAGGCGGGAGAAUUUAAUGCAGAGAAAUGGGUUUUCAGUUGCAAACAAGGGUGUUUUCUUGGGAGAACAUUUGAAUGUGAAGUGCUUAGAGUUAGAACAAGAAUUUAUCGACUCGGAGGCCUUAAAAUUUAAAGGUGAAGAAGCUACAAACUUCUGUACGGCAAGUUUAGAAGACAAAAUGCCAUUUCUCCAGAUGCUUCAAACUGUAGAAACCCCAUCAGUUAUUUUGCUUGUUUUUUGUUACAAGAAAGACUGAAAAGAUGUUGAGGAUUAAGAGAGUGCCAACCGUUGUUUCGAAUUACCAAAGGGAGGAGACGGAGGAGGGUGCUUGUCGUAGCAGCAGGUGUGGUGGGAAUUGUCUUAACAAGUGUUGUCUCAAAGAGGCAAGUUUUCCCUGGUAUCUGUUCCAAGAGCGUCAACAAGACUGAGACUGGAAAGGGAGUGCUUCAAAAUGAAAACAGAAUAUUUCUUUGUUAAUUAAGAAGAUUAUAUGUUAAUUAAAGUGGGUUUCAUCAGUGACGAGAUUAAGAGAAUUAUAAACA